GAUAUGGCUCAGGAUGAACGCUGGCGGCGUGCCUAACACAUGCAAGUCGAGCGAAGCACUUUGCUUAGAUUCUUCGGAUGAAGAGGAUUGUGACUGAGCGGCGGACGGGUGAGUAACGCGUGGGUAACCUGCCUCAUACAGGGGGAUAACAGUUAGAAAUGACUGCUAAUACCGCAUAAGACCACAGCACCGCAUGGUGCGGGGGUAAAAACUCCGGUGGUAUGAGAUGGACCCGCG
rnacentral:rRNA from 1 species